AUGACUGGAGCCGACAAGCACGUUUCUCUCUUGUUGGGGAAGUUGAUACUGCUGCCAUUCAGAAGACUGCAAAGGUUGGUCUUGCUUGUGCCUUGAAGCCUUAGAAUUGGUGAUUUUGUGAUUGAUAGGUUGCUUUGUCUGGUGGUGGAGACAAUAAGUUUAGUGGUAGGGUUUCACUUUCCCAUGAACCUUUUGGUGUCCUUCAUUUUGGAGCUAUUAAAUUUCUUCAUAUUUUGGUUGGUUCAGGGUGCAAAAUCAAUAAGAGCAGAGGACAAUUUUUAAAAUUGUA
rnacentral:lncRNA from 1 species